rnacentral:rRNA from 1 species
UACAUAGGGGGCAAGCGUUAUCCGGAAUUAUUGGGCGUAAAGGGUGCGUAGGCGGUUUCUUAAGUUUAAGGUGUAAGUGCAAGGCUCAACCUUGUGAUGCUUUAGAAACUGGGAGACUAGAGGUAGAUAGAGGCAAGUGGAAUUCCAUGUGUAGCGGUAAAAUGCGUAAAUAUAUGGAGGAACACCAGUGGCGAAGGCGGCUUGCUGGGUCUAUACUGACGCUGAGGCACGAAAGCGUGGGGAGCAAACA